rnacentral:rRNA from 1 species
AGGACGAACGCUGGCGGCGUGCCUAACACAUGCAAGUCGAGCGGAGAUGUUGAAGAUUAUCGGAUGCAUCUUAGCGGCGGACGGGUGAGUAACGCGUGGAUAACCUGCCUCAAACAGGGGGAUAACACUGGGAAACUAGUGCUAAUACCGCAUAACACAGUUCUGUGGCAUCACAGAAUUGUCAAAGGAGCAAUCCGGUAUGAGAUGGAUCCGCGUCCAAUUAGCUAGUUGGUGGUGUAAUGGACCACCAAGGCGACGAUUGGUAGCCGAACUGAGAGGUUGAUCGGCCACAUUGGGACUGAGACACGGCCCAGACUCCUACGGGAGGCAGCAGUGGGGAAUAUUGCGCAAUGGGGGAAAAACCCCUGACGCAGCAACGCCGCGUGAAGGAUGAAGGUUUUCGGAUCGUAAACUUCUUUGAUUGGGGACGAGUAAUGACGGUACCCAAAAACAAGCCACGGCUAACUACGUGCCAGCCGCAGC